GGACCCGCACAAGUAGUGGAGCAUGUGGUUUAAUUCGAAGAUACGCGCAGAACCUUACCAACACUUGACAUGUUCGUCGCGACUUUAAGAGAUUAAAGUUUUCGGUUCGGCCGGACGAAACACAGGUGCUGCAUGGCUGUCGUCAGCUCGUGUCGUGAGAUGUUGGUUAAGUCCCGCAACGAGCGCAACCCCUAUCGUUAGUUGCCAGCAUUAAGUUGGGCACUCUAGCGAGACUGCCGGUGAUAAGCCGGAGGAAGGCGGGAUGACGUCAAGUCCUCAUGGCCCUUAUGGGCUGGGCUACACACGUGCUACAAUGGCCGGUACAGAGAGCAGCCACUUCGCAAGAAGGAGCGAA
rnacentral:rRNA from 1 species